CUUUUGGGAAAAAAAAAGCCAUAACCUCAGAACAGGAGGCUAAUCAGGUUAUUGUGCUGGUUCUAUCACACAGUGCCUUGGAGAUGUGCCACAUAUAUAAGAGGGUAAAAUCUAUCCCAAUUUCAGAUACUCGCUGGAAACUACAAGCACUUAAGAAGUCUAAGACAAUAUUCAAGAAAAGAUGCAACUUUUUGGACCACACUCCGGAGAUCCUUCAACAAGUCAAAACAGUGAUAUAAAGGAUCCACAGAAUUAUUUAAAGAAGAAUAUGGGAAUGCAUCUGACUCUCCAAAUAAGUUAUGUGAGAUAGCCCAAACUUAAUUUUUCUCUAAAUUUGCAUUGUCCCACUGUACAUUCUGAAUGUGAGAUUCAGGCGAAGAAGAAAAUGACUCCGGUUUGGCUGAAAAGUAGAUUGUACACCAUGUUUUCCAGCCAUUUCAGGUCAAGACCUAGAAUUAUCAAUUUGACUUGUUCUCAUUAUAGUUAUCACCAAGGUUUACUGUAUGAGAUUAAACAAAACGAAAGAGCCAUUUGAUCUUACUGUUCGUGAG